rfam:Triticum aestivum genome assembly, contig: Triticum_aestivum_CS42_TGACv1_scaffold_456787_5DS
CCCCCUGAGUUUAAGCAUAUAAAUAAGCGGAGGAGAAGAAACUUACAAGGAUUCCCCUAGUGACGGCGAGCGUACCGGGAGCAGCACUGCUUGAGAAUCGGGCGGCUGUGCCGUCCGAAUUGUAGUCUGGAGAGGCGUCCUCAGCGGCGGACCAGGCCCAAGUCCCCUGGAAAGGGGUGCCUGGGAGGGUGAGAGCCCCGUCCGGCCCGGACCCUGUCGCCCCACGAGGCGCCGUCAACGAGUCGGGUUGUUUGGUAGUGCAGCCCAAAUCGGGCGGUAGACUCCGUCCAAGGCUAAAUACAGGCGAGAGACCGAUAGUGAACAAGUACCGCGAGGGAAAGAUGAAAAGGACUUUGAAAAGAGAGUCAAAGAGUGCUUGAAAUCGCUGGGAGGGAAGCGGAUGGGGACCGGCGAUGCGCCCUGGCCGUGUAAGGAAUGGCUCUUGCUGGUCCGCCGCUCAGCUCGGGGUGUGGACUAUCGUCGGCCACGCCGGCGGCCAAAGCCCGGGGGCCCUAGGUGCCCCCGGUGGCUGUCGUCGGUACGACCGGUGCCGGCGUGCCGAAAGGCGUGUCCCUUGGGGCACUACGCUGCAACGGCCUGUGGGCUCCCCAUCCGACCUGUCUUGAAACACGGACCAAGGAGUCUGACAUGCGUGCGAGUCGACGGGUUCUGAAUCCAGGGAUGCGCAAGGAAGCUGACGAGCGGCAGGCCCGCACGGGCCGCACCGCUGGCCGACCCUGAUCUUCUGUGAAGGGUUCGAGUUGGAGCAUGCCUGUCAGGACCCGAAAGAUGGUGAAUUAUGCCUAAGCGGGGCGAAGCCAGAGGAAACUCUGGUGGAGGCUCGAAGCGAUACAGAUGUGCAAAUCGUUCAUCUGACUUGGGUAUAGGGGCGAAAGACUAAUCGCACCAUCUAGUAGCUGGUUCCCUCCGUAGUUUCCCUCAGGAUAGCUGGAGCCCAUUACGAGUUCUAUCAGGUAAAGCCAAUGAUUAGAGGCAUUGGGGAUGCAACGUCCUCGACAUAUUCUCAAACUUUAAAUAGGUAGGCUGGCGCGGCUGCUUCGGUGAGCCGUGCCACGGAAUCGGGUGCUCCAAGUGGGCCAUUUUUGUUAAGCAGAACUGGCGAUGCGGGAUGAACAGGAAGCCGGGUUAUGGUGCCCAACUGCGCGCUAACCUAGAACCCACAAACGGUGUUGGUUGAUUAAGACAGCAGGGCGGUGGUCAUGGAAGUCGAAAUCCGCUAAGGAGUGUGUAACAACUAACCUGCCGAAUCAACUAGCCCCGAAAAUGGAUGGCGCUGAAGCGCGCGACCCACACCCGACCAUUUGGGCGAGCGCCAUGCCCCGAUGAGUAGGAGGGCGCGGCGGCCGCUGCAAAACACGAGGCGCAAGCCCGGGCAGAGCGGCCGUCGGUGCAGAUCUUGGUGGUAGUAGCAAAUAUUCAAAUAAGAACUUUGAAGGCCGAAGAGGAGAAAGGUUCCAUGUGAAUGGCACUUGCACAUGGGUAAGACGAUCCUAAGGGACGGGGUAACCCCGCCAGAUAGCGCGAUCACGCACAUCCCCCGAAAGGGAACCGGGUUAAGAUUUCCUGAGCCGGGAUGUGGCGGUUGACAGCGACGUUAGGAAGGCCGGAGACGCCGACGGGGGCCUCGGGAAGAGUUAUCUUUUCUUCUUAACGGUCUGCUAUCCCUGGAAACGGUUCAGCCGGAGGUAGGGUCCAGUGGCCGUAAGAGCACCGCACGUCGUGCGGUGUCCGGUGCGCCCCCGGCGGCCCAUAAAAAUCCGGAGGACCAAGUACCGUUCACGCCCAGUCGUACUCAUAACCGCAUCAGGUCUCCAAGGUGAAUAGCCUCUGGCCAAUGGAACAAUGUAGGCAAGGGAAGUCAGCAAAACGGAUCCGUAACUUCGGGAAAAGGAUUGGCUUUGAGGACUGGGCUCGGGGGUCCCGGCCCCAAACACUCAAAACUAUAUGUGCCAAGUGACCAAGAUACUUGACCGAUUCAUGCGGAUGCCUUCGUCAUAGGCUACACGGCUAAGUCAUGGUAAAGACAAAUGGUAAAGUCCCUUAUAUGACAUACACAAUCAAUCGAUAAGGCCAGUCGCGAGCA